CCCUUAGAUGUUCUGGGCAGCACGCGCGCUACAAUGGUCUUCGCAAACGGAUGCAUUCUCGAAGGAGAAUGCCAAUCUUGGAAUCUAUGCCUUGGUCGGGACAGUUGCUUGCAAUUUUUCGACUCGAACCAGGAAUUCCUUGUAAUCGUGAUUCAUCACAUCACGAUGAAUACGUCCCUGCCCUUUGUACACACCGCCCGUCGCUCCUACCGAUUGAAUGUUUCGGUGAAGAUUCCGGAUAGGACUGAUUUGAUUUAUUUCAUUUCUGACCUAAAAGCUAUCUAAACCUCAACAUUUAGAGGAAGGUGAAGUCGUAACA
rnacentral:rRNA from 1 species